rnacentral:rRNA from 1 species
UACAGAGGCCCCGAGCGUUAUCCGGAAUUAUUGGGCGUAAAGGGUGUCCAGGCGGCCCUGUUAGUCGUUUGUAAAAUCCGUGGGCUUAACCUACGGUUCGCAAGCGAAACGGCAGGGCUCGAGGGCGCGAGAGGUAGAGGGAACUCAUGGUGGAGGGGUGAAAUCCGUUGAUAUCAUGGGGAACACCAAAGGCGAAGGCACUCUACUGGCGCGUUCCUGACGCUCACACACGAAAGCCAGGGGAUCGAACGGG